UUUAACGGCCGCGGUACUCUAACCGUGCAAAGGUAGCGUAAUCACUUGUCCUUUAAAUAAGGACCAGUAUGAACGGCUAAAUGAGGGUAAAUCUGUCUCCUUUAACCAAUCAGUGAAACUGAUCUACCAGUACAAAAGCUGGUAUAAACCCAUAAGACGAGAAGACCCUGUGGAGCUUUAAAUUUUAACCAAUAGCAACGCCCAACCAACUACCAAUGGUUAAAAAUCUUAAGUUGGGGCGACUUCGGAAACAAAUAUAACUUCCGAGCAUAAGAAUAUUAAUCUUACCAAGACCCACAAGUCAAGGCAAAACUUGACCCAGUAACACUGACUAUCGAACCAAGUUACCCCAGGGAUAACAGCGCAAUCUUCUUCAAGAGUUCCUAUCGACAAGAAGGUUUACGACCUCGAUGUUGGAUCAGGACACCCAAAUGGUGCAGCCGCUAUUUAAGGUUC
rnacentral:rRNA from 1 species